CGACCGCUGACGUUGCACGCUGGCGGAGCCAAGCUGUCAUGGCCGCAAGACGCGAGGCCCCGAGUGGACCACGUUUAGGCGCACUAAGUUUACUGUUGCAAGGUGUUCAGCGCAGUAAUUGCGGAGAGUGUGCGGGCAUCGUGGGGCUUUUGUGUCUCGGCGCUGGGCGGUCCUCUGCGUGUUUGGGUGGCGUGCCGCGGUGAAUUCUACACGGCUCCUGCUGGCGGGAAGCCUCCCCUUUUCUUUCUCUUUUCUUUCUCCGUG